rnacentral:lncRNA from 1 species
AUGCUGAAGGCUCUGCCUCUGGUAUUUUAUGUAUUCAAAGUGAUAGGAUGUUACCUCUUAAGUUCUUCCAGGGCGACCUUACCCAACUGCUCUUGCUGGAGUGAACAUUCAGAAGCAGCAGCAGCAGGAACAGCCGAGCAACUUAAGAGCCCUGCCUAUAGUCCAUCUGGCCUGGAGCUCCAACAGUUUGACCACCAGCCUAGAGAUGCCUGGAAAAGAAGAGCCGUGUUGCAACCCAGAGGCUCCCAUGGAGCCUUGCCCACUGGCUCUGAGAAGUCCUCCAAUGAAGAUACACAAAGACCAGUAAAAUGAAGAUACACAAAGACAAGUAAAAUGAAGACUGAGGAAUUCAAGAACCACAUAAGGAAAGGGGUAAGAAGAGAGGAUUGUCAUAUCUUGUAUUAAGGAAGGCUCUUUGGGCUGCAAGGAACAUUUAUGCAUCCAAUGACUGUCUGCUGAGCUCCUACCAGGUACCAGGCAGUGCGCUCAUCAUUGGGUUUACAGCAGUGACCUCAUGGAGCUCACAUUUGAAUAUUACUUAUACGAAGUCCAAGAAAACAAGCAAAUAAAUAAGAUUAUUUCAGAGUGACAAAGAUGUGAAGUAAGUAAACAGGAUAGAGAGAAAGGGCCGGGUGGGAUGGAGGGCAAAUAUAUGUUGGGUGAUCAGGAAAGGUCUCUCUGAGAAGGUGACAGGACAAGAAAGAACCAGCCACAUGACACUCUGGGACAAAAAUUCUCCAUACAGAGGGAGCAGCAUGUACAAAGGCCCUGAGGUAUGUGGGAGCUUGAAGAGUUUGAAGAACAGUAAAAAGAAGAUGAUUGUGGCUGGAACAAAACGAGGGAAGGAGAGCAGUUUGUAUUGGUUGGAUGAGGUCAGAUCCUGUGAGGUCUUAUCCAGUAUAAUAAAGUGUUCAACUAUUAUUUUCAGAACUUCAGGCCCUUGAAGAGAAAUGGCAUAGUCUCCUUUACCAUUUUAAAACAUUUAGAAACCCAACUCAACGAAGCUUUAACAAAAGGAGGGAUUUCUUAAAAGACUGUGGGAAUAUGUCAGAGAAAUUACAAGCAAAAAUAAAGUUGGGUUUGAGUAGAGCUGGGGGUUCUUCACCCCCAUGUUGGGUCUUCUCUGUAUUCUCUCUAUCUCAGUCCACAUGGAGCCAACAGCUCCUCUAUUAUAUAAACUUGACUUCCACAAUCCAGCAUCUCAAGGGUAAUGUAUCUCUCAGUUCCAGCAUGCCUCAUCUAAGGACUCAGGGGCUGUCUUGAGCCAGGAGUCCAUUCCUGGAUCCAUCAUCUUUGGCCAGAGUGGGUCAGGAACACAUUUGAUAUCCUGGUUGCUUCUGAGUAAGGGUGGGGGAGGUCUGGGCAGGAGGAAUAAUUCUCCAAAAGAAAGUGAGGAUGUAGGGCAGAGUGAGCAAAGUGUCCAAGCUUCCAGAAAAAAGAAACCAAAGAAUGUAGCAGGAAGCAAGCUCAGAAUUUAACACUGAGUUUCCUGGUAAUCAAAGCUCAAAAAGAAACGUGAGUGGGUUUCAGAGUUUUUCAUCUGCUAANNNNNNNNNNNNNNNNNNNNNNNNNNNNNNNNNNNNNNNNNNNNNNNNNNNNNNNNNNNNNNNNNNNNNNNNNNNNNNNNNNNNNNNNNNNNNNNNNNNGCUCAAAAAGAAACGUGAGUGGGUUUCAGAGUUUUUCAUCUGCUAAUAAAACAAGGCAAAGCAGAUUAUUAGGAAAGAAAAGCUUUCCUCAACUAAAGUUAAGCAGACAUUCUUGGGAGGUUUUCCUCCCAAGAGGAAGGGGAACUGAGAGAUACAGUGGAGGAUUCAUCAGCAACUAUUUAAAUUUCUCAGAUGAUUUAGUUUUUCUAAAUGUGUGGAGAUUCCCUCUGGGUGGUUUCUGAAAGUAGAGGGGACAUCACAGAGUCCCAGAGUGAGGUGGGCAGGAUAUAUUGAUGGGGAGCCAGCGUGAUGUGUUUCUUUCUGAUGACCUCAUUGGUUCUUGGAGACUUCUGCACGAGGCUUGAAAACGCAAAUGCUCUCAUACCAGGGAGACACGUGUGACAUGGGCUGGGUGCCUACACCAAGGUUGGCGGCAGUUGGUGAUUCAGCUCAGUCAGCAAAGAGACUGCAGGAAAUUGCUGCUCCUCAGCUCCUGCCAAGUGUGGCCUCUUGGGCCUAAUGAUUUUCCAAGAGGAACCGGACAUUCUGGAUCCUAAACCUUGAAUGUUGACAACUAAUUGAAAUCUGUUUGAAAACGUUCCAUGAGCCAAGCAAAAUGGGGAUGAGGGGUGAAGGCAGUUAUAGCCAGGGAGGGUAGGGGGAGGAGCUGCAGGCUCUGUGUCUGUCUGUCUGACCAGUUAGCUCGCCUCAUGUGAGCUUCCUGAAAUAUGGAAGGAUUAGCCUGGCUUUUGGACAGAACUGGGCACAAGACCCCUGGGUGUGGAGCCUCGUGAUCCUAUGGAGAGAGACCACCCUCCUGCACUUGCCUUGCUCCAGGCUCUGUGCUAGGCCCCAGGUAUCCGGUGAUGAGUGAAACAGACCCACUAUUGUUCUCAAGGGGGUUGUAUUCCAGUCAAGGAGCCAGACUUUCAACAACGAACGUACAACAACGCAGCUAACCAGAGUUGUAGAGGUGCCGGAUGGAGGCCAACAGAAGGCUGCCUUAGGUGUUCAUAGUGGGUGUGACCUAGUCCAGGGGGUU